GGAAGGGAAGCGCUCCCGGUGGGGCGGCUGGCCUUCAAAGCCAGAGAGGGCCGCCAGACGGUUCUUAGUGGGUUCGACUCCCACUCUCUUCCGCCA
rnacentral:tRNA from 1 species